AGAAAAGAAAACCAGCAUUAUUGAGAUGUAAUUCGUAUACCAUACAAGUCACCAAUUUAAAAUGUACAAGUCAGUGGCUUUCCGUAUAUUCAGAGUUGUACCUCCAUCACUACAAUCAAUUUCAGAACAUUUUCAUUACCCCAAAAAGAAACACGGCCACCUUCUUAGCCAUCACCCACCAGUCUCCCCAUCCUCUCUUGGCAACUCCUAAUUUCCUUUCUGUCUCUAUAGAAAGGAAGUGUUCCUAUUCUAGACAUUCCAUAUAUGGAAUUCCACAGAUGGAAUGCCAUUUAUAAUGGAAUCACGGACCUUUGAAUCUGACUUCCUUCACUUACCAUAAUGCUUUUAGGUUCCUCCAUGUUGCAGCAGGGAUCAGGUCUUCAUUAUUGACAAAGAGUGUUUCAUUGAGUUAUCAUUACUCAGAAAGGGACCAAGAAAUAUAAGGGACCUGGGACUACAUGAGACCGGAUGUGGAAAGCCCCUCAAGACACUAGCAGGAAAUACCUGCAACCGUAUUCCUAGCCAAAUCCUGAAACUGCAGACAAAUCGUGCACUUUUCUGGAAGGAAGUCUCGCUGUCAUUCGUCAAGUUCUGAAAGGGUCCUGAGAAGCGUUCGAGACCACUGGGCUGGAGGUGGCACCAGGAAUGGAUCGUUGGCCUGGAGUUCUGACCCUUGGUUUUCUGCCGCACACAGCUGGUCCGUUAAUAAUGCAGUGAGUUAAUAAUUAAAAUGAGAUUGUGUGAUCCUUAAAGAUGCAGGCUCACUCCCUCCCAUCUUCACUUGACGAAGGCUGUUGCCACCAAAAUCAGUGGGCUCUCCCAGAAGGUUCUGUACUUACCUGUGCUUACAGGUAAACACAGAGAACGUCUGUUUUCCUCUCCGGGUCUUCUCCAUUUAUGCAUCCAGAGACUACAGCUGGCUGGUUCAUCUUUUGCCUUCCCAAUCCUUCAUGUUUAAUUCCCUCUACUUCUGCCUCUACCCUAUCUAACUUCUCCAGAAUAUUUCUUGUCAGUACCCCAGGAUCAAGAUGGGUGGACCCACUCCUCUGUUUGUAAGCUGGGAGGCAGGAAGUUUGGCUUGGCUGUGUGACUGUAAGCAAGUUACUUCACUUCUCUGACUCAUAGGAAUGCUGUUAAAUUUAGAUCAAAUGAAGGAACAGAUGUGGGAGCUCUGCAGAAAGUUAGAAGAGUCAUCUCGGAUGUGAAAGCUCUAUUUAGGGAGCAGCAGUCAAGUCACCAUCUGACCAAUAACUCCUAGAAGAUCCUGGAAUAAGGCUCCUCCCAGUCACAGAAAAAAAAAAAAAAAUGACAUGGAACUUGCAACUUUUGCAGUGGUUUUAAACAUGAUUUUUUUUUUUUAGGUGGGUCCCACUCAAUUCUCCAAGGCAUAGUAGAUAACCCUCCAUCAGUAACUA